UAGGAACAAGAAUUACUACAUUCGGAGCUACGGUUACCAAGGUAUGAAUUUCUGGAGUUAUUUAGUACCUACAAUAGAGUCAUUCAAGCGAAUGAUUUUAAAUUAAGUUUCAUGGCUAAACAAAGGUACUAGGUGAUAAACAGUGUUAAAACAAAAUUAAUGCAACUGGAAUGGAUCAAUUUGAAGUUAAAACGGAUGAGAUAUGGAUUAAACAAGGUUAUAGGUAUUUUACUAUUAAAUUUAUACCUAAAUAAUACUUCCAGGGGCUCUUCUGCUAAUUCCAGGGACUUAUCUGUGAAAUAUUCUUACGAUCGAGGGAUGGCGGGUUGAUUUGAGAAUACUACAGGGGCUCUUUAAUAAAACUGUCAUCGCGAAGGGGUAUCUUUAAGUCUCAGCCGUUGGAUUAGAUCUGGACGAAUCGGAUUGUGAGCAUGAAGGGAAAACAACCCGAGCCACACAUCAAUAAAUCCAUGGUCCGGAUCGGGUUGGCCCAUAGCAGUACAUAGGUUUUAAUCUGCACCGCCCAUUUGGAUCUAACGGCCCGCACUCUUCUUCAACCCCCAAGGAACUGCGCAGAGGCGGCGCCAUGGCCACACGGUGGAGAACGCGACUGUGGCACCAAUUGGCCUCCCCCGAGCACCACAGUCAAAUUGAACGGAGCUACACGGUGUGCGCGGCAUCGCGAUCACAAUGGAUGUAUUCUUACCGGCAUUGAGGUACGGAUGAAGCUUGGCCACGGCGCACGACGGAUUCAUGGCGUCGCUGCGCGACGGCGAGAAAUUCCCCGCCACCAGGUUGGCCAUCGACCCCGGUGCCGCAUCGAACGCGUCCCAGGCUCGCCAAUGGCCCAGGGGAUGCCGCGGCCACGGAUUUAUACCCAGGGGCGAGGAUGAGUUCGGUCAAGCCGCGCGACAAGUGCGGGAGAUCCUCCGCGGAUUCCGCGGCGUUAGCCGUGCGCAACGGAACGCAGGGAGGGGAUGAAUUUGUUCUGUGGACCCCACCCCCGAAUCCGCAAGGCGCGCGGCGAGUGGCUCAGGGCAGCGGCGAUUCCUUCCCUCUUAUUCACGGGCGCCCAGUAGUCGCGGACACCGCGGCGAAGACUCCGGCCGAACUCAACGACCCUGGCGAGCUCCCAGGCGAGAGGCUCGGUCUAGGCAGGUGAGACACCAUCAGCGGUAAGAGCAGAGAGGGCAAGUUAGGCCAGCGCGGGCGGCGAGAAACACGGCCGGGAUCGGAUCUUGCCGCGCGCAGAGAUCGACGGAUUCGUUGGAGUCCGCCACGAUCGGGAGCUGGGAGGAGAGUCUGUUCGCAGGGCCCAAGUGGCAGAGGCGCAGCGGUCACUGACCCAGGCGGCCCACGCGUAAGAGGCUGUUUCCGCAGCGCACGCGAUGUGAGGCUGACGGGGCGGUACGUGGGCCCACAUGGCGGCUAGGGUUUGGCGCAAGCACGCGCACUGGUGGAGAACUGGGCUACGGGAGUAAGGGGAAUGGGCCGGGGAGAAGAAGUUGGUCCACAACGCCAAAUGAAGCCUUUUUUCUUUAUUUCAUUUUCUUCCUCUUCUCUUUUAAAUUUAAAUCUCAAAUUUGAAUUCAAAUAGUGUUGUGAACUUGUACCCAAAUUAAUGUACAAAAUAAACAUACUAGUAUCGUAGUUAUUUAUUUAUGUAUAGCUUUUAUUUUGUUU